GAAUGAACACGCGAUCGAAAUAGAAGCAGAAGAAAAGCAGAAAAAAAAAUAAAGAAAAUGAAAAAAAUCUCGAUUAUUGUAUG
rnacentral:ribozyme from 1 species